rnacentral:rRNA from 1 species
AUGCUCGCCGGCGACGCCGGGGCCCUCCCUCGUGCUGACGCACUCGCCGUGGCCACGCAGGCCCCUUCUUUGCCCCGCCCCUUCUUCCUAUCUGGUGACGCUGGGGCCUGCCUCCUCCUGGCGAUGCCGGGGCGCUCGAGCUCGGCAUGCUCGCCGGCGACGCCGGGCCCUUCCCUCGUACUGAUGCACCCGCCACGCCACGAACUUCCCUCCUCCCUUCUCGGGACGCCAUCAAGGUCCAAUUCCAACUCUUGUUCUCCCCUCGAUCCGGAUGCUCUGCACUCCGCCCCCGUCUUGAUGACCCUUAAUGGUUCAGAUACCCUGAGGGAGAAGGAGGUGCCGAAAGGGGAUGGGAGCAACAAGUUUGAAUCGAAAGAGGUAUACUCAUCUGUCUCGAGACUGCUCUUUAUACAGAAAUAUCGAGUUCAGCUUGUUGGAACAUCUCUUUUUGUUCAUUGCUGGUUAUGUUGUCUUCAGUUUUGUGUGCACACAUUACAAUUUUAUCUAUGGCUAUUAGUGUUAGGGACUCAGAAUACUUUUUACUCCAUGAUGAAAUUGACACUUCUUGAUAGUUUUAAUUUAGUUAGUUCAUGUGUGCUUGGCAAUGAAACCAGUUAUAUUUGA